rnacentral:rRNA from 1 species
AGAGUUUGAUCAUGGCUCAGAACGAACGCUGGCGGCGUGCUUAACACAUGCAAGUCGAGUGCGCGCCUGUAGCAAUACAGGUGGCGCACGGCGCACGGGUGCGUAACACGUGGGCAAUCUGCCCUCUGAUGGGGAAUAACCCGCCGAAAGGCGGGCUAAUACCGCAUAAAAUUCCUUGGACUUAUGUUCGAGGACUCAAAGGCGUAAGUCGUCGGAGGAGGAGCCCGCGCACGAUUAGCUAGUUGGUAGGGUAACGGCCUACCAAGGCUUUGAUCGUUAGCUGGUCUGAGAGGAUGGCCAGCCACACUGGAACUGAGACACGGUCCAGACUCCUACGGGAGGCAGCAGUGGGGAAUCUUGCACAAUGGGCGAAAGCCUGAUGCAGCGACGCCGCGUGGGGGAUGAAGCUUCUCGGAGUGUAAACCCCUUUCGAUCCGGACGAAUACCUCGCAAGAGGGGUGACGGUACGGAUAUAAGAAGCCCCGGCUAACUACGUGCCAGCAGCCGCGGUAAGACGUAGGGGGCCAGCGUUGUUCGGAAUUACUGGGUGUAAAGGGUCAGUAGGCGGUGUGGCAAGUUGGGAGUGAAAUCUCUGGGCUCAACCCAGAGGCUGCUUCCAAAACUGCCAUGCUUGAGUGUGGGAGAGGCGCGUGGAAUUGCAGGUGUAGCGGUGAAAUGCGUAGAUAUCUGCAGGAACACCCGUGGCGAAAGCGGCGCGCUGGACCACAACUGACGCCGAAUGACGAAAGCUAGGGGAGCAAACAGGAUUAGAUACCCUGGUAGUCCUAGCCCUAAACG